rnacentral:rRNA from 1 species
AAAUUGAAGAGUUUGAUCAUGGCUCAGAUUGAACGCUGGCGGCAGGCCUAACACAUGCAAGUCGAACGGUAACAGGAAACAGCUUGCUGUUUCGCUGACGAGUGGCGGACGGGUGAGUAAUGUCUGGGAAACUGCCUGAUGGAGGGGGAUAACUACUGGAAACGGUAGCUAAUACCGCAUAAUGUCGCAAGACUAAAGAGGGGGACCUUCGGGCCUCUUGCCAUCGGAUGUGCCCAGAUGGGAUUAGCUAGUAGGUGGGGUAACGGCUCACCUAGGCGACGAUCCCUAGCUGGUCUGAGAGGA